rnacentral:rRNA from 1 species
UCCGGAUCCGUUNGGCAGAGUUUGAUCGUGGCUCAGGACGAACGCUGGCGGCGUGCUUAACACAUGCAAGUCGAGCGAUGAAGCUUCCUUCGGGAAGUGGAUUAGCGGCGGACGGGUGAGUAACACGUGGGUAACCUACCUCAAAGUGGGGGAUAGCCUCCCGAAAGGGAGAUUAAUACCGCAUAAUAUAAGAAAAUCGCAUGAUUAUCUUAUCAAAGAUUUAUCGCUUUGAGAUGGACCCGCGGCGCAUUAGCUAGUUGGUGGGGUAACGGCCUACCAAGGCAACGAUGCGUAGCCGACCUGAGAGGGUGAUCGGCCACAUUGGAACUGAGACACGGUCCAGACUCCUACGGGAGGCAGCAGUGGGGAAUAUUGCGCAAUGGGGGAAACCCUGACGCAGCAACGCCGCGUGGGUGAUGAAGGUCUUCGGAUUGUAAAGCCCUGUUUUCUGGGACGAUAAUGACGNACCAGAGGAGGAAGCC